GGUGCACCUGUGUAAUGAUCGUGCUGUUAAAUCAGCUUCUUGAUAUGCCACACCUGUCAGGUGGAUGGAUUAUCUUGGCAAAGCAGAAAUGCUCACUAACGGGGAUGAAAACAAAGAGAGAGAAUAAGCUUUUCGUGCGUAUGGAAAAUCUUAGGGAUCUUUUUAUUUCAGCUCAUGAAACAUGGGACCAACACUUUACAUGUUGUGUUUAUAUUUUUGUUCAGUUUAGUUAGUAUAGCUACUGUAACUAGUAUACUAGUUAGUUAGUGUAGCUACUGUAACUAGUAUACUACUUAGUUAGUGUAGCUACUGUAACUAGUAUACUAGUUAGUUAGUGUAGCUACUGUAACAAGUAUACUAGUUAGUUAGUGUAGCUACUGUAACAAGUAUACUAGUUAGUCAUCACUGAUGAACACUACUCACACAGAUGUUAUUAUUGAUCACUAAACUGUUGGAUGUUAUGUGUGCUUAUAACCCAGUUCCACAGAAAGAGUCAGUGUAGUAGUGUGUAGGCGAAAAUGUGUGUGUGUGUGUGUGUCAUAUUUCAUCUGGAGACACUAACCCUUCUUCAACUUAAGAGGCUCUACGUCUGGGGCGGUACUGAUUUUUUUUUUUUUUUAGUUUUUAAAAACUUCAUCUCAUUCCUUUGCUUUAGUAAUGUAAUUUUAAUUUAUAUGAAUUGUACGAAUGUUACGAUUCACAUUCCUGAAUGUUUUAAGUGAAAAGGAAAAUGGAAUCUUGUCAUUGUGUUUUUAUUGUCUGAAGUUUUGGAAACACUGGAGAAGUAACAGAGCUGUAGUAUGGCUGUAUGUCUGAGUCCAAAAUGGGACCCUAUCGCCUAUGUACUGCUUUACAUAUGACCGGCUCCCAUCCCAUAGGGACAACAAGUAGUGCACUGUAUAGGGAAUACAGCCAUUUAGGACAGAGUCCUAUGGGUUUUUCAAGUAGGCCUAAGACCAAGUCUAGUACAGCACAGGUACAGAGUUGUGAAUUAGAGGAGCUAGGCUACCUCACUGUUUGGUGUUUUCACAUGUCAUUUGUCAUUGAUCAAAACGAGAAUAUUAAAGUGUUGACAGAUA